AGCGAACGCUGGCGGCAGGCCUAACACAUGCAAGUCGAGCGCCGUAGCAAUACGGAGCGGCAGACGGGGGAGUAACACGUGGGAACGUGCCCCUCAGUUCGGAACAACCCAGGGAAACUUGGGCUAAUACCGGAUACGCCCUUACGGGGAAAGAUUUAUCGGUGAAGGAUCGGCCCGCGUCUGAUUAGCUUGUUGGUGGGGUAACGGCACACCAAGGCUACGAUCAGUAGCUGGUCUGAGAGGAUGAUCAGCCUCACUGGGACUGAGACACGGCCCAGACUCCUACGGGAGGCAGCAGUGGGGAAUAUUGGACAAUGGGCGCAAGCCUGAUCCAGCCAUGCCGCGUGAGUGAUGAAGGCCUUAGGGUUGUAAAGCUCUUUCGGCGGGGAAGAUAAUGACGGUACCCGCAGAAGAAGCCCCGGCUAACUUCGUGCCAGCAGCCGCCGUAACAC
rnacentral:rRNA from 1 species